GUGGAUAUAGCUCAGUUGGCUAGAGCGCCAGAUUGUGACUCUGGAGGCCGCCGGUUCAAGCCCGGUUAUCCACCCCA
rnacentral:tRNA from 1 species